ensembl:snoRNA small nucleolar RNA, H/ACA box 36A
UUCCAAAGUGUUGAGUUCAGUACAGGGUUUAUUCCCCUGUUCUGGUAAUUAAACUUUGGUACAGAAAUUGACAAAGGGAUUCUGUUUAAAGUUUGUGGUGGUCUGUCCUCACUUAUUAUUAAACUUUGUCUACAUUU